CCAGAAUGCGAUGCCGUCGGAUCUACCGCUGUGGUUGCAAUCGUAACCCCUGAUAAGAUCAUCGUGGCCAACUGCGGAGACUCUAGAGCCGUCUUGUGCCGCAACGGCAAACCCAUCCCUCUCUCUAGUGAUCACAAGCCGGACCGUCCAGACGAGUUGAACCGGAUCCAAGCCGCCGGUGGGCGUGUGAUAUACUGGGACGGUCCACGGGUUCUCGGAGUUCUGGCGAUGUCGAGAGCCAUAGGUGAUAACUAUCUAAAACCCUAUGUGAGCUGCGAGCCGGAGGUGACGAUAACAGAACGGACGGCGGAGGACGAGUGCUUGAUACUAGCCAGCGACGGGCUUUGGGACGUGGUGUCGAACGACACAGCAUGUGGAGUGGCGCGUAUGUGUUUGAGAGGGAAAGGACAGGUGCAGCAGUCAUGUUCUCCGCCAGAGAACGAGGUGGUGGGCUGUGGAAGUGCAGCCAGCAGCGGAUGCGGUGAAAUGUCGGAUAAGGCAUGCUCGUAUGCGUCGAUGUUUCUGACGAAGUUGGCUCUGGCCAGGCACAGUACUGACAACGUGAGCGUGGUCGUGGUGGAUCUAAGGAAAGGCACGUAGCCAUGAACUUUUUUAAUUUUUAUUUUUCUUAAAAUGCUUGGUUAGAGGUGGGGAGGGGGAGGGGGGAAUUUUUCGGAUGAUGAGAAGGGUUUUGGAGAUGAAUGCAAAUAGUGUAACGAAAUGGGGGAUGGAAAUGAAAUUUGGAGUGAACCAAAAAGGGUGUAAAAAAAAAGGUCGUCGUUGUAUUUGUCCGCCUUGAAGUGAAAUCAGCUUUGGCGCUAUAUAGUAAAAAAGUAAGUGGAUAUAAUUUUCUUUUGUUUAAUUUUAUUACUCUGUUAAUUUUCUUUGUGGAGA
rnacentral:misc_RNA from 1 species